CCUAUAAAACGGGCAUAAUUAAAAACAUUGAUACUGAUCCGUUCCGAUAAAGCUAAUCAAUUUAACACUUCUCAUAUCAGAAAGGUUGGCAAUUAGCGAACCGCUGAUAAGAUGCAUUCUUGUAGCCAAGAAAGUUCUGGUGGGUUUUUAAUAGCCGGCCUGCAUAAUACCCACUAAAUUGUUCUAAGGUGCCCUCGUUUAAUUCGUUUCAUCACGCCAAUCUUUUCAUUUCAUUCAGGGUCAAAUAGGUCUUCGCACACACAUAUUAUAUAGAUACACAACUUCGUACGUACAACGUACAUAUCUGUACCGUUAUAGCAAGCAGCGUCCAUGUCACUAAAAACACACCAUUAUGUAACUUUGGACCCACCUGCGUUCCUUUGCCGGAUCCCGGCGGCCCCAACAGAAUCGCGUUGAUUCCAAUGUUUUGGGGCUCAUAUCGCUCCACUGGUACUGCUGCAUUCGGCGCCAUCGUCUACUUUUAUGCUCGACUUAUUCUUCGUCCGGUCGUCCGGUUCGUCCGGUCCUAAUUCAUAAACGUAACGUAAAACGUAAGCCAGUGAAAAAGGGAGACAGCCUCAGCGUAAGUGUCAGUGAAAAAGGGAGACAGCCUCAGCGUAAGUGAAAAAAACGGAGCCGAAA